GCCGGGCGUGGUGGCUCACGCCUGUAAUCCCAGCACUUUGGGAGGCUGAGGCGGGCGGAUAACCUGAGGUCAGGAGUUCAAAACCACCCUGGCCAACAUGGUGAAACCCCGUCUCUA
rnacentral:SRP_RNA from 1 species